CAGUGAUGCAGGUUGUUGUCAAUACGAAUGCCACCAAAGUCCAACCAGCAGAAAGUGAGAAUGUGCUGCUAAUAGCACCCGCCGGAGUAUCUGCUCCGAAAACCGUACUCGAGCCAUCUGAGUUGUUCGUAUUGAAUACAGUUGAUCCAGAAGCAGAACCAGGAAUAGAACCAGAACCAGACCCAAUGCCAGGAACAGAACCUGGACCAGACCCAAUUCCAG
rnacentral:misc_RNA from 1 species